UUUUGAUGGAAUUCUAUUUCAUUCUAGAAUUUUUGAGGUACAGAAGGGUCUUCAUGGACCGUUAUGUCCAAAAAAGCCAAAAAUGACCAGAAAUCAAGUUCAAAUAUUUUCUAUUACCAGAACAGCACACACAUGGUGUCACUAAAUAUGGAUGAAGUAGUAUUCAUACUUUCAUUAUUUUAUAAAAGCUGGGUGGGUUUUUUCCAAAUAUUGAGUAACCAUAGCAACAAAGUUUACCCUAUAGCAACAAGGCUAAAAAAUAAAUUGUAACAAAUGUAUUCAAUAUUUUAGUCUAAAUGCAUAUACAUGGACUAAAUAUGAUUUAUUUCAGCUAGUCACAUUCAAGUGUUGUCAAUUGUUACAUUUUUUGGUCCAGAAAGUAUUACAUAGCAACCAAAAUAUGUGCUUAACAACCAAAAUGAACAAACAAAAUUUUAUGAUUUUUUUUUAUAAAUUUGUUUUCUCUGGUGCAAAAAGUGACAAUUUAGUGGUCAGAUAUCAAUAAAUUCUAUAUAAAGAAGUAAAUAAAAUGAUAUCCUCAUUUCAUCAACAAAAACAUAAACUCCCCUAGUUACGAAAUAAAUAAUUAAAAUAAAAAAAGAUAAUAAAAAAAAUACCAUCAACAUGUAUUUUUUAAACUGAAGACCUAUUUUUAACCAAAAUCUAAGAAAAACCAUUAAAAAUAUUGUGAUGGGUCCUCAACACCCCCAUACUUAUAACUGACAAACAGUUGUAUGCAUACAUGUAUUAACAAAUAAAGGAAGAUAUUUUCAAAAUUUUUCAUUUUUGGUGUUACCUUACUUCUUAUACCAGAUAAUUAUUGUUCUGAGACCUACAUUAACUAUUAUAGUAGUAUCUGACACUGUCAUGUUCUAAAAAUUUCAUUACAACCAUUUUUUUCUCUUUAAACAACCAAAGAGGGGGAUAUGAUAUCAAUUUAACAACAACAAAAGUUAUUCCUUAGCAACCAAUGCUUGAUCAAAUUCAUUUUGAAAAGAAGACAAAAAUCUAGUCUUAAAUGACCUUUUUUAACAUGUUAAAAGUGACAUCAAAUAUACGUUUGACAUAUUUGUUCUGCAACAUGCAAGGGUUUAUUUAUAUAUAUUUAUAUUGAUAUAAAAUAGAACUAGACGAAAUAAGAAUAAAUUAAAAAAUUUAAAACCCUCAUGUUGGGUCCUUAGUUCUCAAGAUUCCUUGACAUGCAGUAUUCUGUAUAUAUAUGAUUAUGAUGUUGUCAUGUUAGUAUUUAGUAAUAGCACAAAUUAUAACAAGUUCAGAAUAUUUGCCUCAUUAUGAACUAAACAAAAUGCAAAAUCUGUCAUACAUAUGCAAAUGAAGGUAAAGUUAAAUACAAUUUAACUAAUUUGCUCUCUGACAUGGUCCAUCUCAAUAUCAUUUAAAAUGUCAACUAAAUUGUCAUCAUCAACAUAAGCAUCAGCAAUUCUUACAGUUCGGCCAACCUUCUUUCCUGUUCUGGUUAAUAAAGCCAAUCUUGAGAAAUAAGACAUUAUCUGACUUGGCUGUAAACACUGUUCUAGAGCAAAUAGUCUUUCACCAUCUUCAUUCCUG
rnacentral:lncRNA from 1 species